AACAAAAAUUCUUGGCGACCUCAGCAAGAAAAACUGUUCUCUGAUGAUUGAAAAUCUUGAGCAAAGUGAUGGAGGGCCUUUCUUUUUCAGGAUUGAACUAGACGGUCCAAACAUGUUUUCCUACUUCAAUAACAAAGUCUCUAUUUCAAUGAUCGGUGAACCAAAUCCCACUGAUUUCUUUGUGCAAGAAGAGGUAAAGGAGGGUCAAACUGUAUCUGCAUUCUGCUCUGUGUCUCACUCCUGCCCCACAUAUCCACCUGAUUUCCACUGGAGUCACUCUGGAGAG